rnacentral:rRNA from 1 species
AACGAUGCCGACUAGGGAUCAGAGAGUGUUAUUGGAUGACCUCUUUGGCACCUUAUGGGAAACCAAAGUUUUUGGGU